rnacentral:tRNA from 1 species
UAAAAGAUAAGCUAAAUAAGCUAAUAGGUUCAUACCCUACAUAUAUUGGUAAUAAUCCAUUUCUUUUUA